CGAACGCAUGCCUUCUCAGCUCAUCGACAUUCUUCUGCACCGUCUCCUCCAUCGGCGGAUCCUCUAUCCUUCACUUCUCGACUGUAGUUAGCGGUGAAGAUUGCGUGCUAAAUGAAGGACCUAUUGAAAUUGAGCAAUGGAAUCAUGUGAUUGUAUGCGCUGUACGUUGCCGAUAUCGAUCUAGGAACUGAGAUUCUGGCUUUCGGCGUUCUACCUUGAUGCCAAUGCAUUCAGAAGUUCUUAUAUUGAUUUUUGGUUUUAGAUAAAUUUCUUUUAUUGUAAUCCACGAUUGAUACGAUCCAGUUAAUAUGAUCUUGAUAGGCAAUGUAA